rnacentral:lncRNA from 1 species
CGACCGCAGAGGUCAAAACCCUGAACAGUUGGGGCAAGUAUGGACAAAACAUCCAAGCGUGAUACAGCUCUGAAUUUGGAUUGUGAUCAAAUUUUUGACAUUACAUGGGUUUUUUUUACACAAAACAAAUGUCAAGAUUUUACAAAUCAAUUAAAGAUUUCUUCUUCAAACUUUUUAAAUCUAAAAUUAAAUAGUUGACACAGCAUAGGUUUCUGACACAGAAUGAAUGUGGUCUAAUGAACUUAAAAGUUUUUUUUGCCUUUGAGCAAUUCACUAUGCUGUUGAAUAUUAAUCCUCUCAAAAAAAUGUUUGAAGAAAUUUUCUUUUUAUUUAUGAAAUCUGAAAUGAGAAAAAUUUAAACCCCUCCCCCCUUUUUUUUCACAUCCCCGUUUCCCUUUUUCCAAAACUGAUAUCAAUUCAAAUUUCUAAUGGAGUUUGCAACAAUAACUACUCUUUUAAAUACAUCAUAAAUAUUAAAAUGUAAAAUAAAGUGCUUGUUAUCACUGAAUGGUAAAGAUUGGUUGGUAGUAAAAGUGAAUAUACAUUGUUUAUUGUAUAAAACAAUAAAAAAAACUUCAUAAAUUUCCAAUGAAGUUAUUUACAUAAAGUUAUUGGCAAAUAAAAAUAGAAAAUGACAUCAUAGUCAUGUCUGGCAAAUGUCCAACAUACAUUAUCUAACAA